CUGUUGGCGUUUAGACCUGGACCUACCGAGAACCAGAUUUAUGUACCGAACCCUGCUAUCCUUGACCUUACCUGCGGCCUGGGUGGACCAGGACAGCGAAACAAACACACAGUUCCACAAACAUUAUUGUACCAGGUGACGAUUCAGCUAUCGAUGUCCAGCAACAGGACACUGAAAUCCGAUCACAAACAAAAUGUCGUCCUGGUUUGCACACCCCAGUACCAGCUGGAUUCUACCUCCAGGAUCACUGGACGUCCCUGGUGUGUGACUCAAAAUCCUUUCCCUCAGCUGAACUGAUAUCUGGAUGCCUGAAGGACAAACAGAUCCUUAUGAUGGGUGACUCCACUCUCCGUCAGUGGUUCGACUACCUGGAGGAAACUGUGCCAACAUUGAAACGCCUGAACCUUCACACAUCAAGCAAAUCGGGCCCCUUUGAUGCAGUCGACACCCAGUCCAACACCCGCAUCAUCUGGCGGGCCCAUGGGAUACCUAUACGGACAAGCAAGACCCCCUGGGCUGACCUCCACUACAUCGCCAGUGAGAUGGAGGGUCUGGCAGGGGGUGCACACUCUGUAGUCGUCUUAGUAUAUUAGUAAUUGACUGACCCGGUCUCUCUAGAUCUCCUAACAGUACUAUUUCUAGGGUCAAUUAUAGAUCAAUGCUAUGCAUUUUCAGCCAUUCCUGAACCUGAGACCGGAAACAGG